UUCUUCUUGUGAUAGAUGUGCGGAUGAUGGCCUCAGUUCUUCAUUAGUGGUGGGGCAUCUUAUUUGUUGGAGAAGAAAUUACAAACCGAUUUCAGUGAGUUGGAGGUGGACUUGCUAGAUGAUUUUUGAUAAACUAGAAUAUAUUAUCAACUCCUGCAGAGAACAUUGUGACAUGAGGUUGGAGGAUUAUCGCAUGGAGGUUAGAUGUCCUUUUGUUGCUUAUAGGUUCAACAAGAAAUUUAUAGUAGCUACAACUGUAUGCCUUGAUUAAUUUAGAUAGCCUAGAAUAUAUUAUUAGCUCCCGGAGAGAUCGUUAGGACAUAGUGUUGGAGGAUUGACAGGAAUGGAGGUUAGAUGUCCUUUUAUUAUUGCUUCUA
rnacentral:misc_RNA from 1 species